GAUAUAUAUUAUUUUCAGCCAUUAAGUUUUUUGAGGCAAGUUGUUAUGCAACAAUAGAUAACCAAUGCCUUGAUCAAUAUACUUAUGAGUACAGGUUCCCUGAGAAGGGAAUGGCUCCCUACUCCAGUAUUCUUGCCUGGAGAAUUGCAUAGACAGAGGAGCCUGGCAGGCCAUGGUUCGUGGGGUUUCACAGAGUCGGACACAAUUGAAGCAACUUAGCACGCACGCACUAAGUGUAACUAGAAAUCAAGAGGGGUCUUGGUCAAAGGUGGUGAUGAGGUUCAUCUGCACUGAGGCAAUUAAAAUCUUGAGUCUGUGAGUCUCCAAGAACAAUGAAGAAAAGCAGUGUAGUUGGCACAGUGGGUUCCCAACCACUAUUCCCCACCUUGACCUUCCUAACUGAAUUCUAAUCGGUUCCCUUAUCAUCCCACAUCCUCUCAGCUGUAAGCUUCAUUAACUUGUACCCAUAUCCAGAAGGUGGAUCCCCAUUAGCUGAAGCCAAUAGUGGCCAUUAUUGUUGUUAGGAAUGUGCAUGGGACACAAAUUUAGGCAAUGAGAUCUGACAAGUCCACUGAGAAGCUUCUAUUUCUUCUGGGUGUGUGUGGAGGCGGAGUGGUACUGAGGAUGGAAGGAGUACAGAGAGUUACAGCAAACGUAUAAAGCAUCUACCAGCUAAUGAUGCCUCAGUUCAGUCCAGUCGCUCAGUCGUGUCCCACUCUUUGCGACCCCAUGAACCGCAGCACGCCAGGCCUCCCUGUCCAUCACCAACUCCCGGAGUUCACUCAAACUCACGUCCAUCAAGUCAGUGACGCCAUCCAGCCAUCUCAUCCUCUGUCGUCCCCUUCUCCUCCUGCCCUCAAUCUUUCCCAGCAUCAGAGUCUUUACUCUGCCAAAAUUGUGUUUAUUUGUUAAAAAUAUACUUCAUUGUAUUAUAGCAAAACUAAACCCCUCCCCAGUCCCUACCGAGACAGAAUGAUUGGGUUUCAGGGUGAGGUGCCAGCUAGUGUUUUGGGGGGUAUUAAUGUGCCAGCUGCUCCUGCAGUAUUCAUUUUAUUUCCAGUCCCCAGGCUGGUUUUACACGUUUUUUGUGUAAGGGAAUCAGGAUUAGGGAGUCUUUUGUUAGUGAGGGGGUGAGAGCGAGCAGCAUCACCUUUGAGCUCCGUACGCAGGGACAGCCUAGCAGGCAAGGCUCGAAGCUUUGAUUUACUUCUUGCUCUCUGACUUUUUCACAAAAAGAAAAGAUCUAUCACAUGGGGCUGCUCUGCUGGAAGCUUGUAUGGCAGUGGAUUGGGGUGACUGUUGCUUCCAAAUGCAGUUCACAGCCACCAAGCCAGGGUCACAUUGGAACUCUGUGCAGAUACAACGCUCCCAACCUGCUAAGAAGAAACGCUCCUAUAGGAAGAAAUGCUUCUUUAUUGCAUGGUGAAAGGCGCUAUUGGGUGGUCCUUGCCUGAGAGCUGAAAGAGCAUAUGGAUUCCCACUUGCUUCUCUGAAGGAGCUAACAUUAUUUUUACCCACUUGGAAACGCCGAGCUGCUACCCGCGUUCAGAGUCCCCCCUCACUGGCCAGCUUGUCCAAGUGCAGUGACCUGCUUGAACAAUGCCAGUGAGCUUCUCCUCCACUGAGCAAAUCGCACAGCCUCCUAAAGAAAGAGAGGCCUCUUUUAUGAAGCAACUCCUCUUAAGAUGGGAUUGUGAAACAGAUACACACAUGCACACGUCACACGACAUCGUUUUUUUGUGUGUGUGUGUGUUUGGUUGUUUUUAAGACUGGGGACAAAAUUACUAAGCAAAAUUUCCCAAUGAACACUUCUCUUAUUUUUAAGGACAGAGAAAGGCAAAGUGAAAAAGUAGCCUCGCUUAUCCUCCUUCCCUUCCCCCUCACAGCCCAGACUCAAAACACUCAUUCUGAGGAUGGAGCAGAGGUGGCAAAGGUCAAGAAAAUGGGGCCUUGUCUAUUUACCGGCUCUGUAAGGAACUAUUGUGGCGCAGCAGCUGUUCUUCUUGCUCCUUCGGAAGCCUGCCUGCAGUGGAUGCGGGGGAGGGAGGCUGUGACACUGGCAGGCAGGGCGUGUGGGGAGUAACAGCUAAUAUUUUCUGCACCUCAAGAAAGAUGGGCUUUGUUUCUUAAAAAGAGCAGAGAUACUGUUUCUGGGUAGCUGUUAUCAGAAACUGGUUUUAACCAAACACAGUUGGAU
ensembl:lncRNA